GGAAAAAGGAGAUAGGUUCUUGCAGUGGGUGCUGAAGCAGGGCACCAGGAAGGCGUAUUCUUUGUUCAGCAAUGAGAAAGGCAAAGGGGAAAGUCUUUGGUAGCUGUGUCCUCUGGUCACAAUGGAGCAUUGCGGCCUUUAAAGCAUGAUUAAAUGAUACAGCUUCAGGGCAUCUGUCAGAAGUACUCAGGAAAUAGCACUGAAGUUUUAUGCCGAUGGGAUUUCUCACCAAACUUCAAAGCUUAAUUUAAACUCUGUUGGAAUGAAGAGGCAUAAAACAGUGAUUUUAUGAUAACUAGUUGUAAUCCAGUCAUUGAAUGAAAAGGGCCCCAGUUGUGGAGUAUUUCUCCUGACAUACCACAUUGAUGGAAGAGUGACUUUGAAAGAUCUUCUUGCUUAUGUUUGCAUGAAACAACUUUGCUCCCUUUCAAGAAUUAUAAUAACCGUUUGCAAUAACGUAGCAGUUUUCAGGAUGGAAGGUACUAACUGCAAACAGCAUCACCAAAAUGCCGCUGUAACAGGUGGACAACCAGAUGCAGUCAUGCUGCACCGGCAUGGGAGGAGGAGCAGCUCUGUCCAAGGGCAUUGGCAAGGUUUUAAUUUUAUGAAAACUAUCAUGUGGGCUUUCAUAUCUACUUACCCAAAGAAGGCAGGAACUAGGAGCCCGAUUCUGACCUUACAUUGGUUUUACAUGACCAGAACUCCAUCAACUCCAGUGAAGUUACUUCUGACUUACACCAAAUGAAACCUUGAAAGCCCGAGGUAUCAUUUUCAUCUUAAAAAACACCAUUCCUCCCUCCAGUUCAAUAAACCACAGGGGACUCAGGUGGCUGAGGGGCUUUUGACUUUCCGGUGAUAUUAAAGAGAUUCCAGGGAAUCUGGAUAUUUCAUACCCAGCAGAUACAAUGUUGAACAAAAGUUCAUUUACCAGCCUUCUUCUUCACUGCCCCUAGGACUGAGUUGUUCUAAGCUGAGUUUUACUGAACAUAACAGUUGGGUUAGGACAAUCUGCCAAAUUGUUCUGGUUUUUUACGUCUGUACAAACUGCACAUUCUGUCAAUAACUAGCUUAAAUUUAAACAGUGUUUCUCUUUGAAUUUGCUCUCUGAGUGAUAUAAAGUAACUUGAAUGUUUUCUUAGUAUUUACCACAAGAGAGAACGUGUGUUCAAAUAGGAAUAGUGACUUCUUGUGUGUAUCAUAAUACACUAGAGCUACACACUGAAAGGCCUCCUACCAUUAUCAUUAGAGCUGUGCAGAAAAGUUAUGGGUGAAUAGUAAAUUCA